rnacentral:rRNA from 1 species
ACACAUGCAAGUCGAGGGGCAGCAUGAACUUAGCUUGCUAAGUUUGAUGGCGACCGGCGCACGGGUGAGUAACACGUAUCCAACCUGCCGAUGACUCGGGGAUAGCCUUUCGAAAGAAAGAUUAAUACCCGAUGGCAUAGUUCUUCCGCAUGGUAGAACUAUUAAAGAAUUUCGGUCAUCGAUGGGGAUGCGUUCCAUUAGGUUGUUGGCGGGGUAACGGCCCACCAAGCCUUCGAUGGAUAGGGGUUCUGAGAGGAAGGUCCCCCACAUUGGAACUGAGACACGGUCCAAACUCUUACGGGAGGCAGCAGUGAGGAAUAUUGGUCAAUGGACGAGAGUCUGAACCAGCCAAGUAGCGUGAAGGAUGACUGCCCUAUGGGUUGUAAACUUCUUUUAUACGGGAAUAAAGUGAGGCACGUGUGCCUUUUUGUAUGUACCGUAUGAAUAAGGAUCGGCUAACUCCGUGCCAGCAGCCGCGGUAAUACGGAGGAUCCGAGCGUUAUCCGGAUUUAUUGGGUUUAAAGGGAGCGUAGGCGGACGCUUAAGUCAGUUGUGAAAGUUUGCGGCUCAACCGUAAAAUUGCAGUUGAUACUGGGUGUCUUGAGUACAGUAGAGGCAGGCGGAAUUCGUGGUGUAGCGGUGAAAUGCUUAGAUAUCACGAAGAACUCCGAUUGCGAAGGCAGCUUGCUGGACUGUAACUGACGCUGAUGCUCGAAAGUGUGGGUAUCAAACAGGAUU